ACAAGUGUCAUCCUAUAAGCAACUCCACAUAGGAUUUUACCUUUCAUGUUUAGACAAAAAUUUAUCCUCAUUUAGGCAAAGUUUUCAAAUUUUAUCAUGGAGGGAAAAAAUGUGUGAAGAAUUGAUCAAAGGGCCACACAAUUGGGUCGAAAUUGCAAGGCCCAUUGUGUUUAAGCCCAAAACGGACAAAAAAAAAAUUGCUGAAAUGAAAAAAACAAAAACGCAGGCACAGUAACGUCCCUUUCAUUUGCUUCAUUGUCUUCUUAUUUCUGUCAUUUUCUUCACACCUUCCCCAAAACACCCAUUUUAGUGAAAAUUGUUUCUCUGCACACAUGUUGUUGGAAUCAAUUUCAAAUUUCAAAUUUCAAAUUCUCCCUCUCUUCAAUCUCAUCCCAUAACUCACUUAGCUAACUUUCUUUCUCAUGUGUUUCAAAUUUCAAUUUCAAUUCUUCUCUCUUCAGCUCUCUCAUCCUCUCUCACAGCAAAAAUCGCUGAAGAUUGUGAACUAAGUUAAAGACAAGUAACGAUGAUUUUGAAUACAAGGAAAAUCAAUUGAAGUGGCAAUGGAAGGAACCGCCAUCAACAAGGACACACCGUCGGAACCGCCAUUAGCAAGGACACAUAGCAUGAACCGGUUCAAGUGAUAGUUUUAUUUACAAGUGAAAUUAUUUGAGUGAGUUGUGUUUUAAAGAAACUUUUUUUUUGCUAUUUUUGAGGGCUAUAAGUGGGCUAUGAUUUGAAUAGGGAGAGGAUGCUAGAGUUGAGAAGUGGAGCUAGAAGGUCCAAGAGGCUUGGAGAUCUUCAGAAUGGUCCAUGACCUGUUGAUCAAGGAGAGAAUUGGGCAGAGCCUUCGCAGGACAGAACUAGCAGGAGAGUUGGAGGUGGAAGAGGAUAGCUUCAUGAAUAUAAUCCUUAUUCACAAACCUAGCGACGACAAAGAUCGAUGAAGCAGAGCACACGACUGCAGCGAAGAUAUUGCCGCUUAUGAAUAUGAGGAAAAAUUGUGCUACAUAUAUAAUUUUAAAUUGGAAUAAGGCUUGCCAUGUAAAAACAUGUGGAACCAUGUAAAAACUUCAACUUGGAAUAGGAUAUUGAUAUUUUGUCACCUACAAGAGGAGUGGUAUAUAAAGAGCAAAUCAUAAACAUCAAGAUCUAGCCAUUCAUGCAUGCACAAAUGAGUUGAUAGUAUGCAUUUUACUGAGUUGAUAGUAUGCAUUUUACAGAGGUAAGCUUUCCCUUUGAUUAGUUAAUAAUGCUGGUAGUAAAACUGAACUUCAACUUAUAUUGGUGCUACUUUUUGUUUUGCAAAUAUAAGUGGAUCACUUAUAGUGUGAUACUUUUUGUUUUGAGAAUUUGUUUUAAGUGACUCAAAGCAAUGGAUGAUAGUAUGCAUGUGCAUUAUUCUUCAAGUAUUUAUAUCUUAAAGACCUGUGAGAAAUAUAUGUAGAUGAAGUAAGUGCAUUAUGGGAGGAUUUAAAUCGAAUUCUACACACUCUACAUUUUUCAAGUUCUAUAAACAAGUAAGUGUCUUCACUCUUUGACUAUGAUUUAAUUUUUUGUUACUUUGUUCGAACUUUUUAGUAAGAAUGUUUAUGUGUUUGCUCUUUUGGACAAACCACAUUGACCUUCUAACUAAUUUGGGUGUGUUUCAUUUUUUAUUGACUCUGAAUUUGUUUGCUGGAUUCUUCUCCCAAUCAUUUUUUUAACACAUUCAUUUUUUUAUUAAGUAUGUUUUGUUUCAAGUUAGCAUAUUUAAGUUAGAGACUACAUGUGGUACAUGUAAGGGAAAUUGGAACUCGAAAAAUUUUAUUGGUAUAGUGUAAACAUUCACGUUGAAAAGGAACAAAGAGUAGUAGGCAAUAGGCAGUACCUGUGGUCUCAUGGUUUGGAUUCUAUUAUACUUUAAUGCAUAAGAACAACUAACUUUUACCGCAAAUUGAAUCCGAUAUAAAUGUCUGACUCAUGGAUGCUGAAGGGAAGGAAUUCCAAAUCAUACCAAUUUAUGGAAACAAUUUUGUAGAAGGAAUUAUAGGUCUUAAAAGUGAAAGUUGUUAAAGAUUUGGUUUUACAUCUAAAGGAGAUUGUGAGCCGAAAUAUCGAUAGGGUUGCAAAAUGGGUUUUUAACUUCCAAAGGAUUUAUCCAUGAUAAUACAAUGUUUAAAAAGGGUUUUAUAUAAUUUAAGUUUACCGUAAUGGUAUUAACUUUCUUUAGUUCAUGAGUUUUUCUCUUAAUGGAAUUUGAAAAAAUUUCUUGAAUGAAAAUAAAAAUGACAUUAAAAUAUAACAUUAAGUUUGCUAUGUUAUAGUAUAUCCACUACAUAAGUAUGAACACAUGUUGCU